rnacentral:tRNA from 1 species
GCCCCUGUAGCUCAGCUGGUCAGAGCAGAGGACUCAUAAUCCUUUGGUCGCGGGUUCAAGCCCCGCCGGGGGCACCG